GAUCUGCCACGUCAAUUAAUGAGGUCAGAUCCAACACUCCGUGUUUUUUCUGAUUUUAUUUAUUUUUAUUUUUCAUUUUUAAUUUCAUUUUCUUUUAGAAUUCAUAGAAAAUUCAUUUUCCAUCCAAAAUAAUUUCUAAAAUUCUCUUUUAUUUUUCUUCAGCUGAUUUUAUUUUUUCAUACUUUAUUUUCUUGAUUUUUUAUUUUUAAUGGAUUUUC
rnacentral:lncRNA from 1 species